rnacentral:rRNA from 1 species
AUGCAGUCGACGCCGUCUUAUACGGAGAGGCAGACGGGUGAGUAAUCCGUGGGAACAUACCCCUCGGUUCGGAAUAACUCAGGGAAACUUGAGCUAAUACCGGAUCCGUCCGGGGUUUUAACCGACCUUGGAGAAAGAUUUAUCGCCGGGGGAUUGGCCCGCGUCUGAUUAGCUUGUUGGUGAGGUAAUGGCUCACCAAGGCGACGAUCAGUAGCUGGUCUGAGAGGAUGAUCAGCCACAUUGGGACUGAGACACGGCCCAAACUCCUACGGGAGGCAGCAGUG